GUAGCUCACUCAGCGGGCAGGAUCUCAGGGCUAUGGGACAGCAACUGCACUGUGCAAGCACAGCCAACAGGAAGUGAACGCAAACACAUUCUCCUCAACAUAAACACACACAGACUUCACCUACGGCCGAACUUCUGCCCUCGGGUGACCAACACCACUAGGACACGGGUCAACAGGUUGCACUAUGACAGAAAAUGCAGCCUUAUUGAAUGAAAAAGAAAAUGAAAAAUUCUUUUGUUUGCUUUACUCUGUGGUUUGCAUAGCUAGUGUGAUGUCAUAAUGGAGUUGAGUGGGAAAAAGAAGUUCCUGCUCUAUCACAGUCUGAGAAAGGCCGUCGGAAAUUGUUAGGCGUGAAAGAAAAAAUCGUAUGGAAGACCUACACAAAAUAAAAGCAAGUCUCACUGCUUUUCAAGGGAAGUAUAGAAGUGAUUAGUCUCUGAUGAUAAUAAGAGAUCCUGCACUUCACUAUACUAAUGCCAAUGUGGGGAGAACAGGUUUCUUUAGAAUCCAGUGGGCCCAGUGGAAAGUAGUAUUCUUCGUCUCUGCAAAACUAAAAUACCUAACCUAGAUAAGCCUGACUACUUCAGAUUCUCAAUGAAUAAUGGAACCCAAAGUAAAGAGGAGAGAAAAAAGCUUGCAACACUCCUUUAUUACACAUUUUUCCUAAAGAGGGCUGGAUAUUACGAAGGAUGCAAAUUGCCCAUACUUCAUAGCAGAGCAACAGGAGGGACUUAGAGACAAAAAGGAAAGAAUCAAAGCACACAAACAAAACAAAAAAAGUAAUAGCAGCAUAUUCUUCCCGGUGGGAGCAAGAGAAGAAAAGAAUACUCUGCCUAUCCCUUUGCCUUCAUCUUCUUUCUAAAGGCAAAUAAUGCAUUCUCAAUCAAGCACAUUUCCUUUUGGAAAUAAUUUCCUUGUUGUUUAAAAGGCCUCGCUUUUAUUCACCUUGCUCAAAGAACACAGGUGUAUCAAAACCCUUAGGUUAUUCCCAAAUUAUUUCUCCAGAUUGUUUUCUCCAGAACACUAGACCUGAGGGAAUUCAGUGGUAAAGGGGUAUAAAAAUGUUAGGCAAGUUUUCCCUCUCUUAGAAAUUCACAAGACACUUUACCAUAUUAGAGUCUUAUCCCUUGGUUUAAUCAACUAUAUUCUGACAUUGUGUGUUUCCUUGUGGUAUUAAUUAUUUAGUUUUAUUGCUUUCAGAAGCUUAGUGUUACUACUAUUGACCAUAUCUACCUUACUAAGGGAGAAAUUACAGAGAGGACAAAACACUUCAAAAUUUAGAAUGGUAAGAGGAAGUGAGGAAAGGUGUGUGUGUGUGUGUGUGUGUGUCUUAGGGAAAAACUGAGACACUGUGAGAAAAUAUUAUAAUUGAGGUUUUCUUAAAUUAGCAUUUAGGACCACUAAAUAAAUUUCACUGUUCACAGAAAUGUUAAGAACACAUGAUAUCAUUAAAACCAACUUAAACUAAAUUAUUCCUUUGGCAGAUAAUGUCAUGUGGUUACAAAUUUUCUGGACUCAUGAAAGGUAUCAUAUGUAGUAUUAUUUUAAACAGGUCAACAUCACUGUUGAAAGAUGCUAAACCUUAGAAGCCUGUGAAGGGGAAACACUAAUAUCCCAAUUUUACAGUUAAACAGGCACAGAGAGGCUAAGAGUCUUGCCCAAGGCCACAGAGGAAGGAAGAGACUAAAUCUGGAACAAACUUUCUAGUCUCCAUUUCCAGAAGAAACCACUCAACCAUGCUUCCUCUUGUCAU
ensembl:lncRNA